GACCUAAGCCCUUUAAAUCAGGGGUUCAAAUCCCCUCGCUAACU
rnacentral:tRNA from 1 species